GGCUCCGGCGCGGCGGACCGGGGCCGUCGGCCUGCUCCGAGCUGCGGGCGCCCGGUGUCGGACAGCGCCGGGCCGCGGGGUGCUGCCGGCUGCGGCUGUGCCCGGGGCUGCGGGACUUCGGGCCGCGCAGGGCGGGACGGAGCCGCCGUGAGCCCUGCUCUCCUCUAGCUGGUAUGGAUUGUGGGAGCCCUGAUUCGCUGCAGAAACGGACUGUUAUUUGCAUCCAGUGAUCUGUGCCAAAUGGCUUAUGUACAAAUAAAGUCUUGUGUGGUGCAAAA